AACGAACGCUGGCGGCAGGCCUAACACAUGCAAGUCGAACGCCGUAGCGAUACGGAGUGGCAGACGGGUGAGUAACGCGUGGGAACAUACCCCUCGGUUCGGAAUAACUCAGGGAAACUUGAGCUAAUACCGGAUAAGUCCGAGGUUUUAAUCGACCUUGGAGAAAGAUUUAUCGCCGGAGGAUUGGCCCGCGUCUGAUUAGCUUGUUGGUGAGGUAAUGGCUCACCAAGGCGACGAUCAGAGCUGGUCUGAGAGGAUGAUCAGCCACAUUGGGACUGAGACACGGCCCAAACUCCUACGGGAGGCAGCAGUGGGGAAUAUUGGACAAUGGGCGAAAGCCUGAUCCAGCCAUGCCGCGUGAGUGAUGAAGGCCUUAGGGUUGUAAAGCUCUUUUACCCGGGAAGAUAAUGACGGUACCGGGAGAAUAAGCCCCGGCUAACUUCGUGCCAGCCGCCGCGGUAAU
rnacentral:rRNA from 1 species